rnacentral:rRNA from 1 species
UACAGAGGUCCCAAGCGUUGUUCGGAUUCACUGGGCGUAAAGGGUGCGUAGGUGGGCAGGUAAGUCAGUGGUGAAAUCUCUGGGCUUAACUCAGAAACUGCCAUUGAUACUAUCUGUCUUGAAUACCGUGGAGGUCAGCGGAAUAUGUCAUGUAGCGGUGAAAUGCUUAGAUAUGACAUAGAACACCAAUUGCGAAGGCAGCUGGCUACACGAAUAUUGACACUGAUGCACGAAAGCGUGGGGAUCAAACAGG